UGAAAUUGAAUUACUUGUGGGAACGGAUUUGAGGGAUGGAAAUGGAACAACUCGUGCAAUAAAUUGGUGUGGUUGUAUUGUCCAAGAUCCUCAUCCAGCAGUACGUGCACUUGGAUUUCUUCCCGAGGAAGGCCAUGGAGUAUAUGUAGCAAGGUGGUGUCACGGAAGUUCAGUACAUCAAUAUGGUCUUUAUGCUCUUCAAUGGAUAGUUGAAGUUAAUGGAAAACCAACUCCCUCUUUGGAUGCUUUUGUUGACGUCACAAAGACGAUAGAGCAUGGAGAGUUUGUCCGGAUACGAACAGUGCACCUGAAUGGGAAGCCCCGAGUACUUACAUUGAAGCAGGAUUUACAGUACUGGCCGACAUGGGAGUUGAGGUUUGAUCUGGAAACUGCUACGUGGAGGUGCAAAACAGUCAAAGCUUUGGACUCUGGUGUUUUGUGAAUCUGCGGAAGAGCACGUUGAAUAUUCACUGGAUUUGAUGCUAGUUAGUCCAACUUGUCGGUUCGCCAUACAACAAUAUAUGCAAAAUCAUUUAAAGCAGGUAUCUGGCUUCAUUGCCUAUUUGUUGUAAAUGACCAUUUAUUUGAUGAA